CGCCUCUUGUAUCUUUUAAAAUAAGAGGUCCUGCCUGCCCUGUGACUCUUUGUUUAACGGCCGCGGUAUUUUAACCGUGCGAAGGUAGCGUAAUCACUUGUCUUUUAAAUGAAGACCCGUAUGAACGGCAUUACGAGGGCUUAGCUGUCUCCUCUUUUAAGUCAAUGAAACUGAUCUUUCCGUGAAGAAGCGGAAAUUUAAACAUAAGACGAGAAGACCCUAUGGAGCUUUAGAUACUAUGACAGCUUACGUUAAACACCCCCCAAAUAAGAGGGGAAAACUAAAUAAGCUCUAUCCUACUGUCUUUGGUUGGGGCGACCACGGGAAAUAAAUAACCCCCAUGUGGAGCGGGAGAACUUCUCCUACAACUAAGAGUUACAACUCUAAUAAACAAAAAUUCUGACUAUAAGAUCCGGCAAUGCCGAUCAACGGACCGAGUUACCCUAGGGAUAACAGCGCAAUCCUCUUUUAGAGCCCAUAUCGACAAGAGAGUUUACGACCUCGAUGUUGGAUCAGGACAUCCUAAUGGUGCAGCCACUAUUAAGGGUUCGUUUGUUCAACGAUUAAAGUCCU
rnacentral:rRNA from 1 species